rnacentral:rRNA from 1 species
CCCUUAGAUGUCCUGGGCCGCACGCGCGCUACACUGAUGCAUUCAACGAGUUUUACCUUGGCCGAGAGGCCUGGGCAAUCUUUUAAACCUGCAUCGUGAUGGGGAUAGAUUAUUGCAAUUAUUAAUCUUGAACGAGGAAUUCCUAGUAAACGCAAAUCAUCAAUUUGCAUUGAUUACGUCCCUGCCCUUUGUACACACCGCCCGUCGCACCUACCGAUUGAAUGGUCCGGUGAAGCCUCGGGAUUGUGGCCAGUUCACUUUAUUGGGAGUUGGCUGUGAGAACUUGUCUAAACCUUAUCAUUUAGAGGAAGGUGAAGUCGUAACA